GAGGCACUUCAGCAAUGCUUGCAUGCGCGGCGUCUUCCGUUGUCGAGGCACUUCAGCGAUGCUUGCAUGCGCGGCGUCUUCCGUUGUCGAGGCACUUCAGCGAUGCUUGCAUGCGCGGCGUCUUCCGUUGUCGAGGCACUUCAGCGAUGCUUGCAUGCGCGGCGUCUUCCGUUGUCGAGGCACUUCAGCGAUCUUGCAUGCGCAGCGUCUUCCGUUUUCGAGGCACUUCAUCUAUUUUUUCAUACGCAUAUUUUUGUGUCUUCUGUUGAACAUUUCAUCAAUUUUUGGAAAUGCAGCGUCUUCUGUUGUUGGGAUACUUCAUCAUUUCUUGAAAGAGCAAAAUCUUCCUUUGUAUGGGAGAUUAUAUUCUUGAGAGGUUAGCUAUUUGCAUUGUUUAAGUUCUUCAGAAACUCUUUUCAAGUGCAACGUUGUCUCUUUUUUGUGUGUCAUUAUUGUUUAGAGGUGUCAGAUAGAUCAGUUUAGAUCAGAUAGGAAAAUAUUACGAACGUAACAUAAAAGCGAGGAAUUUAAAGACAAAGUAGACAGUUAUAUAUUGAACAGAAAAACGAGAUUUAAUGAAGCAAGACAAAAGAUGACAAAAGAAUCUUUUGACACCGAAAAUAAGAUGGAAUGAUUUCAAACAAAAAGGAAUUAACCUAAAAUGAUGCAAGGCAAAGUGAUAUAGCAAUAUUGUGAAGUGAAAUAAGAUAAAAAGAUGAAAGACAAAAAUGACAUAAGAAUCUUGUGAAGAAAAUUAAGAUGAAAUAAUGCAAAAGAAAGAUGACAUUAUAAUCUUGUUAAGAAAAAUAAGACAAAUUGGUGCAAGAAAAAUAUUUCAUAAAUUUCUUAACAAUAUUUGUAAAUAUAUUGCCUGAUGCUUUAAUCCAUAUAUGACAUUUGGAGGCACAUUUAACAGUUUUGUACAUGCUGGCUUUUGUUUGCUUUUUGUAUUUUCUAACGUGAUUGGCAUGACUUAAUUGUCUUUUAUAACUUAACAAAACUGAAUAAGCUAUCUAUCGACUUAAGUUAAAGUAAUAUGCAUAAAUAAUCUAGCUUUCUUUUAUAACUUACACUUGCUCGACGGCUAUUGAUCGACUUAAGUCGGACUAACGUGCAUGAAUAACCUAGUUUUGAAAAGUUGUCGUUUCCAUUGUUUUCGAUUUGCACUUGAUUUUCGACCAAGUGUGCACAAGUAAAUUUCUAGAGAUGCUGCAGGCGGUGCAAAACAAAGGAUGUAUGUCAGAAAAAGAAACAUUGCGCUUUGGGGAACAUGAUGGAAGUACUAAAAAAAAUAAUCAUGAUUAUGACAUUGUGGGGAAGUUUUAAAAAAGUAAUGGAACCACUUUCACAACUGCUAACAUUGAGGAGAUGCAGUUGGCUGCUUUUGACAACCAAUCUACAGGAAUUGAUUGAUACUGUGGAUUACAUUCUGCGUGGUUGUUGUGGAUUUUAUGGUGGCUGUCGUGGAUUGCAUCGUGGCUGUCGUGGAUUGCAUCGUGGCUGUCGUGGGCUGCAUCGCGGCUGUCGUGGAUCUUUUCAAACUAAUCUUGCAUUACGUUAAUCUACGAAUGAAGACUGACGACAACGUUUCAAAAUCAAUGUUCCAAUGUCCAUAUGUUUCAAUGUUCCACUUCAUGUCUUCAGUUAGCAAAAUAUCUAUGAUAGUUGGAGUAUGUUUCAUCCUAUGAACAAAACAACCUUACACAACACUGCAAGAAGUUGUAAAGAAGCAGUUGGCUGCUUAUGACCACCAAUCUAUAGUGAAGAAAGAAAACAAUGGUGGUGGCGUAUUAGCUCUAUUCAUAUAUUGCAUCAUGUUUGUCAUGGAUUAAAUCAAAUUGUCGUUGGUCACAAUCAUAGCCGUCGUUGAUCACAAUCAUAGUCAUCGCAGAUCAACUCAAUGCUGUUGUGGAUUACAUUAUGGUUGUCGUGGAUUUCUAUCAUCGUUUUCUGGAUUGACAUCACCAUUGUCGUUGAUUUUAUGGAAUCAAUCUUGGGGAUUUAUCAUUUGAGGAUUACGUUAAUCUACGAACGAAGACCAAAAACAACGUUUCAGAACUAUCAAAAUUUUGAACCAUGCAAAACUUAAAACGUUCAUCAAACACUA